rnacentral:rRNA from 1 species
CCUACGGGAGGCAGCAGUGGGGAAUAUUGGACAAUGGGCGAAAGCCUGAUCCAGCCAUGCCGCGUGUGUGAAGAAGGCCUUCGGGUUGUAAAGCACUUUCAGUGGGGAAGAAAGCCUUGGGGCUAAUACCCUCGAGGAAGGACAUCACCCACAGAAGAAGCACCGGCUAACUCCGUGCCAGCAGCCGCGGUAAUACGGAGGGGUGCGAGCGUUAAUCGGAAUUACUGGGCGUAAAGCGCGCGUAGGCGGUCUGAUAAGCCGGUUGUGAAAGCCCCGGGCUCAACCUGGGAACGGCAUCCGGAACUGUCAGGCUAGAGUGCAGGAGAGGAAGGUAGAAUUCCCGGUGUAGCGGUGAAAUGCGUAGAGAUCGGGAGGAAUACCAGUGGCGAAGGCGGCCUUCUGGACUGACACUGACGCUGAGGUGCGAAAGCGUGGGUAGCAAACAGGAUUAGAUACCCUUGUAGUC